AUUGUAGGUGAUAUAUCUAUCUCCUCAUGCACAUGCAGUCGCUAUAAGUUGCCAUUUGGACCUGCUGGGGAAUAGCAAGAUCCAAAGAGUGAGAACCUGAUGAUACACCCAUCUUAAUCAGAAUCUUGUAGCCAACUACAUAAUUCAGACACUCAAUUACAAGGUAUAUCAGACACCUACAGAACUCAGUCAAAUAGAGUUUCUAGAAGUUCUGAAUCUUUUCGAGUACCACUCUGCUGAAAAUGAUGUUGCUAAUAUAUAAUUGAACGUGAUUCACUGUCAUCUGGGCUUGAAGUUUGAUCAACGGACUAUGAUUUAUGAUCUUCUAGUUGAUGAGGUGGCUUGUAUAUAUCAUGCUAAAAUGCUGCUCAACCAAAAAGUUGAAGCUUAUACGUAUCUCUAUGAAUUGAACAUUUGUUAUUUGACCAACUCUGCGCAGUAUUUUAGGAAGCCAGUGGGACAGUUGCCUCCACUGCCCCAUGCGACAUCCGCCGGUGGCAAUAUAGGAAAUGAAAAUCUGAUCACACGGCCACCAAAUUGUACAGGGA
rnacentral:misc_RNA from 1 species